rnacentral:tRNA from 1 species
GGAGAGAUGUCCGAGAGGUCGAAGGAGCACGACUGGAAAUCGUGUGAACCCCUAUAAAGGGUUCCGCGGGUUCGAAUCCCGCUCUCUCCG